rnacentral:rRNA from 1 species
GACGAACUCUGGCGGCGUGCCUAAUACAUGCAAGUCGAGCGGACCGGAUUGGGGCUUGCCUUGAUUCGGUCAGCGGCGGACGGGUGAGUAACACGUGGGCAACCUGCCCGCAAGACCGGGAUAACUCCGGGAAACCGGAGCUAAUACCGGAUAACACCGAAGACCGCAUGGUCUUCGGUUGAAAGGCGGCCUUUGGGCUGUCCCUUGCGGAUGGGCCCGGGGCGCAUUAGCUAGUUGGUGAGGUAACGGCUCACCAAGGCGACGAUGCGUAGCCGGCCUGAGAGGGUGACCGGCCACACUGGGACUGAGACACGGCCCAGACUCCUACGGGAGGCAGCAGUAGGGAAUCUUCCGCAAUGGGCGAAAGCCUGACGGAGCGACGCCGCGUGAGCGAAGAAGGCCUUCGGGUCGUAAAGCUCUGUUGUGAGGGACGAAGGAGCGCCGUUCGAAGAGGGCGGCGCGGUGACGGUACCUCACGAGAAAGCCCCGGCUAACUACGUGCCAGCCGCCGCGGUAA